rnacentral:rRNA from 1 species
CACUGACCGUGAUAAUGUAGCGUAAUCAAUAGCCAAUUAAUUGUUGGCCGGUAUGAAUGGCGUCACGAAGGCCCCACUGUCUUAAGAGGACUCUCCAUGAAAUUGAAUUCGUAGUGAAGAUGCUACGUCCAUAUUGUAAGACGAAAAGACCCCAUUGAGCUUUACUAAAGACUUGCAUGGCUCAAAAUAAUUUAAUUUAAAUAAAAAGUUUAGAUAAUGUGGGAUCCAUUUUCGGCUAAUGAAACACCACUCUUUUAUUUUAAGAGAGCUAACAUCGCAGGGAUAAUGUAAGUUGGAUAGUUUGGUUGGGGCGACCACCUUUUAAAAGGUAACGAAGGUGAGCUUAAGGUCCGUAGUUAAUAGUCGGUGGCCUGACUGCAAGGGGGACGUCUCGAGCAGACACGUUCUUAGGGAUGUGGGCUAUAGUGACCCGUCAUCUUAGCGUGGAAUAGUUGACGAUCAACGAAUAAAAGCAACCAUGGGG